rnacentral:lncRNA from 1 species
UCAAAAAACUAAUGCAAUUUUUAUUCAAAUAUAUCAUCUAAGUGAUAAUUACAGUGCUUGAAAUUAGAAUCCAUACCUCAAGAACAAUGUAAAAAAACAUCAGAAUUGCUAAAUAGAAUGCAGAGCAAGCGAGCCGACAGAACAGGACAACAACUAGAUCGAACAACGAACCAAGAGUUGGAACCUCGACGCUAGAAAAAACGACAAGACUUCACGUGCAACCAAACCUUGAUUCAACUAGCAAAUCCAGCACCAAGAACUACACAUCUGAGGGGCCAUUGCAAUACUGCAAAAUAGCAACGAAUAGAGAAGAAGGAAAAAGAUGAAGACACCAUUUUUGGAGAAUAAUGUAAAAGGCCCAAACUUGCUGAUAAUUUCAUAGAAAAUAUAGCUGGGUGUUUUUUUUUUCUUUUUGAAAGGGAAGGUCUGAUUUUCUCUACUUCAAAGGGAGAGAGGUGUGCCGUGUAUGGGGAAAGGAUCUGCUCUCUUCUUCUUCUUUUUUCGGGGAAAUAGCCAUGGGUGCCCCCCCUUUUUUUAGAGUGGUCUCCUGAUUAGAAGAAGAAUAGUGCCGUUUUUGGAAAUUUUUAGAGAGGAAUCCCUUUCUUCUUUUUCUAAAAUCUGAUCUCUAGGUUAAG